rnacentral:rRNA from 1 species
AGAUGGUGAACUAUGCCUGAAUAGGGCGAAGCCAGGGGAAACCCUGGUGGAAGCCCGCAGCGAUUCUGACGUGCAAAUCGAUCGUCAAAUUUGGGUAUAGGGGCGAAAGACUAAUCGAACCGUCUAGUAGCUGGUUCCCUCCGAAGUUUCCCUCAGGAUAGCUGGAGCCCGGUGCAGUUUUAUCAGGUAAAGCGAAUGAUUAGAGGUCUUGGGGUCGAAACGUCCUCAACCUAUUCUCAAACUUUAAAUGGGUAAGAAGUCUGGCUUGCUCGAGUGAAGUCGGACGUGGAAUGCCGGGGCUCCUAGUGGGCCAUUUUUGGUAAGCAGAACUGGCGAUGUGGGAUGAACCGAAAGCCGGGUUAAGGUGCCCGAAUCGACGCUCAGCA